GACGAACGCUGGCGGCGUGCUUAACGCAUGCAAGUCGAACGGAAAGGCCCUGCUUUUGUGGGGUGCUCGAGUGGCGAACGGGUGAGUAACACGUGAGUAACCUGCCCUUGACUUUGGGAUAACUUCAGGAAACUGGGGCUAAUACCGGAUAGGAGCUCCUGCUGCAUGGUGGGGUUUGGAAAGUUUGGGCGGUUGGGGAUGGACUGGGGGGUUUUCAGUUGGUUGGUGGGGUAGUGGAUUCCCAGGGCUUUGCGGGGAAGCCGGCCUGGGAGGGUGACCGGGCCCAUUGGGACUGGGGUACCGGCCAGACGCCUACGGGGGGCAGAGGGGGGGAAUAAUGCAAAAUGGGCGGAAGCCUGAAGCAGCAAAGCCGGGUGGGGGAUGACGGCCUUCGGGUUGGAAACCGCUUUCGCCUGUGACGAAGCGUGAGUGACGGUAAUGGGUAAAGAAGCACCGGCUAACUACGUG
rnacentral:rRNA from 1 species